CCUACGGGAGGCUGCAGUGAGGAAUAUUGGUCAAUGGGCGCGAGCCUGAACCAGCCAAGUAGCGUGAAGGAUGACUGCCCUACGGGUUGUAAACUUCUUUUAUAAAGGAAUAAAGUGAGGCACGUGUGCCUUUUUGUAUGUACUUUAUGAAUAAGGAUCGGCUAACUCCGUGCCAGCAGCCGCGGUAAUACGGAGGAUCCGAGCGUUAUCCGGAUUUAUUGGGUUUAAAGGGAGCGUAGGUGGGUUGUUAAGUCAGUUGUGAAAGUUUGCGGCUCAACCGUAAAAUUGCAAUUGAUACUGGCAGCCUUGAGUACAGUCGAGGUAGACGGAAUUCGUGGUGUAGCGGUGAAAUGCUCAGAUAUCACGAACAACACCGAUUGCGAAAGCAGACUACUACACUGCAACUGACAUUGAUGCUCGCGAGUGUGGGUAUCACGCAGGAUAAGAUACCCGAGUAGUC
rnacentral:rRNA from 1 species